rnacentral:rRNA from 1 species
UACGGAGGGUGCAAGCGUUAUCCGGAUUCACUGGGUUUAAAGGGUGCGUAGGAGGGCAGGUAAGUCAGUGGUGAAAUCUCCAAGCUUAACUUGGAAACUGCCGUUGAUACUAUCUGUCUUGAAUACCGUGGAGGUGAGCGGAAUAUGUCAUGUAGCGGUGAAAUGCUUAGAUAUGAACAUAGAACACCAAUUGCGAAGGCAGCUCGCUACACGAAUAUUGACUCUGAGGCACGAAAGCGUGGGGAUCAAACAGGA